rnacentral:rRNA from 1 species
UACGAGAGGCCCAAACGUUAUUCGGAUUUACUGGGCUUAAAGAGUUCGUAGGCGGCUUGGAAAGUGGGGUGUGAAAGCCCUCGGCUUAACCGAGGAAUUGCGCUCCAAACUCCCAAGCUUGAGGAAGCUAGAGGUGAGCAGAACAGAUGGUGGAGCGGUGAAAUGCGUUGAUAUCAUCUGGAAUACCGGAGGCGAAGGCGGCUCACUGGGACUUUUCUGACGCUGAGGAACGAAAGCCAGGGUAGCGAACGGG